CGGUAACAUUUCUAGCUUGCUAGAAGAUGACGAGUGGCGGACGGGUGAGUAAUGCUUGGGAACUUGCCUUUGCGAGGGGGAUAACAGUUGGAAACGACUGCUAAUACCGCAUAAUGUCUUCGGACCAAACGGGGCUUAGGCUCCGGCGCAAAGAGAGGCCCAAGUGAGAUUAUCUAGUUGGUAAGGUAGCGGCUUACCAAGGCGACGAUCUCUACCUGUUCUGAUAGGAAGAUCA
rnacentral:rRNA from 1 species